rnacentral:rRNA from 1 species
GGUCCCUAUCCGGCGUGGGCGUAAGAUAUUUGAGAGGAGCUGUCCUUAGUACGAGAGGACCGGGAUGGACGGACCGCUGGUGUACCAGUUGUAUUACCAAGUGCAUAGCUGGGUAGCCAAGUCUGGAAAGGAUAAACGCUGAAGGCAUCUAAGCGUGAAGCCAACCUCAAGAUGAGAUAUCUCUUAAGACCCCUCGAAGACUACGAGGUUGAUAGGCUCUGGGUGUAAGCAUGGCAACAUGUUCAGCUGAGGAGUACUAAUAGGUCGUGAGCUUUUCCU